AUUGAACGCUGGCGGCAUGCCUUACACAUGCAAGUCGAACGGCAGCACGGGAGCAAUCCUGGUGGCGAGUGGCGAACGGGUGAGUAAUAUAUCGGAACGUGCCCAGUCGUGGGGGAUAACGCAGCGAAAGCUGUGCUAAUACCGCAUACGAUCUACGGAUGAAAGCGGGGGAUCGCAAGACCUCGCGCGAUUGGAGCGGCCGAUAUCAGAUCAGCUAGUUGGUGAGGUAAAGGCUCACCAAGGCGACGAUCUGUAGCUGGUCUGGGAGGACGACCAGCCACACUGGAACUGGGACACGGUCCAGACUCCUACGGGAGGCAGCAGUGGGGAAUUUUGGACAAGGGGCGAAAGCCUGAUCCAGCAAUGCCGCGUGCAGGAUGAAGGCCUUCGGGUUGUAAACUGCUUUUGUACGGAACGAAACGGUGAGCUCUAAUACAGUUUGCUAAUGACGGUACCGUAAGAAUAAGCACCGGCUAACUACGUGCCAGCCGCCGCUGUAA
rnacentral:rRNA from 1 species